UCCGGGCGGACGCCGAGUCCUGCCGCCGCACGGACGACCGGUCGACGGGAGUGGAUCGGCAGGAGUGGAGGACCCAAGCACGACGGGUCGCCGGAACGGUCACGCCAUGGCCGGGCCGAGCAGCCCUUGGGGUGAAGCCGCAGCGAUGCGGCCGGGCAACUUCGCCAGCCCGAAUCCGACAGGUCAUCCUUCACAGGCGGCUGACGAAGGGUUG
rnacentral:sRNA from 2 species